UACGUAGGUGGCAAGCGUUGUCCGGAUUUAUUGGGUUUAAAGGGUGCGUAGGCGGCCCUGUAAGUCAGUGGUGAAAUAUCUCAGCUUAACCGGGAGGGUGGCAUUGAUACUGCGGGGCUAGAGUACAGAUGAGGUAGGCGGAAUUGACGGUGUAGCGGUGAAAUGCUUAGAUAUCGUCAAGAACACCUAUAGCGAAGGCAGCUUACUAGGCUGUAACUGACGCUGAGGCACGAAAGUGUGGGGAUCAAACAGG
rnacentral:rRNA from 1 species